rnacentral:rRNA from 1 species
AACGAACGCUGGCGGCAGGCUUAACACAUGCAAGUCGAGCGCCCCGCAAGGGGAGCGGCUGACGGGUGAGUAACGCGUGGGAACGUGCCCUUUGCUACGGAAUAGCUCCGGGAAACUGGAAUUAAUACCGUAUGAGCCCUACGGGGGAAAGAUUUAUCGGCAAAGGAUCGGCCCGCGUUGGAUUAGCUAGUUGGUGGGGUAAAGGCCUACCAAGGCGACGAUCCAUAGCUGGUCUGAGAGGAUGAUCAGCCACAUUGGGACUGAGACACGGCCCAAACUCCUACGGGAGGCAGCAGUGGGGAAUAUUGGACAAUGGGCGCAAGCCUGAUCCAGCCAUGCCGCGUGAGUGAUGAAGGCCUUAGGGUUGUAAAGCUCUUUCACCGGAGAAGAUAAUGACGGUAUCCGGAGAAGAAGCCCCGGCUAACUUCGUGCCAGCCGCCGCAGUAAGAC